rnacentral:tRNA from 1 species
UGGCUCAGUGGUAGAGCGCUUGCCUUGCAUGCAUGAGGCCUUGGGCUCGAUUCCUCA